AAUACGGAGGGUGCGAGCGUUAAUCGGAAUUACUGGGCGUAAAGGGUGCGUAGGUGGCCUGCUGAGUCCGAUGUGAAAGCCCUGGGCUUAACCUGGGAAUGGCAUUGGAUACUGGUGGGCUGGAGUGUGGCAGAGGGUCGUGGAAUUCCCGGUGUAGCGGUGAAAUGCGUAGAGAUCGGGAGGAACACCCGUGGCGAAGGCGGCGACCUGGGCCAACACUGACGCUGAGGCACGAAAGCGUGGGGAGCAAACAGGAUUAGAUACCCUGGUAGUCCACGCCCUAAACGAUGCCGACUGGAUGUUGGGUGCGUUUGACGCGCUCAGUAUCGAAGCUAACGCGUGAAGUCGGCCGCCUGGGGAGUACGGUCGCAAGACU
rnacentral:rRNA from 1 species